UACGGAGGGUGCGAGCGUUGUCCGGAAUCACUGGGCGUAAAGGGCGCGUAGGCGGUCUGCUAAGCGUGCGGUGAAAGCCUGGGGCUCAACCCCAGGUCUGCCGUGCGAACUGGUGGACUAGAGCACUGUAGAGGCAGGUGGAAUUCCGGGUGUAGCGGUGGAAUGCGUAGAGAUCCGGAAGAACACCGGUGGCGAAGGCGGCCUGCUGGGCAGUUGCUGACGCUGAUGCGCGACAGCGUGGGGAGCAAACAGG
rnacentral:rRNA from 1 species